AUUGAACGCUGGCGGCAGGCCUAACACAUGCAAGUCGGACGGUAGCACAGAGAGCUUGCUCUCGGGUGACGAGUGGCGGACGGGUGAGUAAUGUCUGGGGAUCUGCCCGAUAGAGGGGGAUAACCACUGGAAACGGUGGCUAAUACCGCAUAACGUCGCAAGACCAAAGAGGGGGACCUUCGGGCCUCUCACUAUCGGAUGAACCCAGAUGGGAUUAGCUAGGAGGCGGGGUAACGGCCCACCUAGGCGACGAUCCCUAGCUGGUCUGAGGGGAUGACCAGCCAGACGGGAACUGGGACCCGGUCAGGGCUCCUACGGGAGGCAGCAGUGGGGACUAUCGCACGAUGGGCGCAAGCCUGAUGCAGCCAUGCCGCGUGUAUGAAGAAUGCCUUCGGGUUGUAAAGUACUUUCAGCGGGGAGGAAGGCGAUGUGGUUAAUAACCGCAUUGAUUGACGUUACCCGCAGAAGAAGCACCGGCUAACUCCGUGCCAGCAGCCGCCGCGG
rnacentral:rRNA from 1 species